rnacentral:rRNA from 1 species
ACGCUCGACACCUACGGGAGGCNGCAGUAGGGAAUCUUCCACAAUGGGCGCAAGCCUGAUGGAGCAACACCGCGUGAGUGAAGAAGGGUUUCGGCUCGUAAAGCUCUGUUGUUGGAGAAGAACGUGCGUGAGAGUAACUGUUCACGCAGUGACGGUAUCCAACCAGAAAGUCACGGCUAACUACGUGCAGCAGCCGCGGUAAUCUGAGCGGGCUGGCAAGGC